GAAUGUAAUUCUACAAAUCAAAUGUUCUAUCAGAGAUAUAAUGGGCCAUACAAUUACAGACUGGGUGACAACAAUGAGUUAAUUGCAUUUGAUAACAAUGACUAUCCACUCAUCUCAGUUGUAGUAGAGCCUUUCACAAAUACAGCUACUUCAACAAUCAGUAGUACACAUAUUAAUACUGUCAUUACUGUGCUUCCAUCAUCAAGCAUAUACUCCACAGCUACUGUAACAAUGGAAUCAAUGGAAUGUACUAAAACUAGCUUAACAUCAAGUAACAGUUUAUCAUUGACUAUAGGUACUACAUCAGUGAUGAGUACACCAGUUAGUACAUUACAAAGUACAGGCAGUAAUACACUAAUAUUAGCAGGAAGUAUUAGUACAGCAGUAUUUAUAUUAUUGGUAGUUACUAUACUAGUAAUAUUAAUAGUGAGUGUAUUAGUGUGUAGGAGAAGAUUGUAUAAAACAUCAAAUGGAAAUGAUACUUUCAGUUCUACUGAAAGAAAAGCUGAUAUAAAUCAACAAUCAGAUGCACCAAAUAUGGAAAAUACACUAUUAGCAUCAACUAAUCCUGCCUAUGGAGUUACUGGUCAAAGUAAGACCUAAUGAUAUUAUAUGAGUACAAUAAUGAUAUUAACAUCAUGACAUAGACUGCAAUACUGAUGUAUCUGCUAAUCCUGCUUAUGGUAUUACUGAAAGUAAGAUAGACUAUUAUUAUUAAUCAAUACAACUAUUAGUAGGAUCUGGUGUAUCUGCUAAUCCUGCCUAUGGUAUUACUGGAGGAAUAAAAAGUAUUGAUGAAGAAGCAUUAGUAUAUGAUGAACCAAGAACAAUGAUGUAUAAUAAACAAGAGAGGUUACAAUAAAGCAAAAUGAAGUAAAAAUUAUAAAGCAACAAACUACACCUUCUACAGUGACAUAGUUUAAUGACACUAGUGUGUGCAUUUUACACUAUUACUUUUCAUUAAUUUAUUUAUUUGAUAUUGGAAAAGCAAAAAAUUCUUUUAUUAAUUGCA